rnacentral:rRNA from 1 species
AUCGCCCUUAGAGUUCGAUCCUGGCUCAGAACGAACGCUGGCGGCGUGCCUAAUACAUGCAAGUCGAACGUGAAAAGGGGCAACCCUUAGUAAAGUGGCGCACGGGUGAGUAACACGUAGGUAAUCUGCCUUUUAGUGGGGAAUAACUUAGGGAAACCUGAGCUAAUGCCGCAUAAGUAAGUAAUUAGAAAGGUGGCGUCCGCAAGGAGCUACCGCUGAAAGAAGAGCCUGCGGCCUAUUAGCUUGUUGGUGGGGUAAUGGCCUACCAAGGCAACGAUAGGUAUCCGGUCUGAGAGGAUGAUCGGACACACUGGAACUGAGACACGGUCCAGACUCCUACGGGAGGCAGCAGUAGGGAAUAUUGCGCAAUGGGGGAAACCCUGACGCAGCAACGCCGCGUGAGUGAGGAAGGUCUUCGGAUUGUAAAACUCUUUUGUUAGGGAAAAAUGGACCAGUAACUAAUAGCGCUGGUUUUGAUGGUACCUAAAGAAUAAGCACCGGCUAACUUCGUGCCAGCAGCCGCGGUAAUACGAAGGGUGCAAGCGUUGUUCGGAAUUAUUGGGCGUAAAGCGCGCGCAGGCGGAUCAGCAAGUCAGAUGUGAAAUCUCGAAGCUCAACUUCGAAACUGCGUCUGAAACUGCUAGUCUAGAAUGUCGGAGGGGGCAGGGGAAUUUCACGUGUAGGGGUAAAAUCCGUAGAGAUGUGAAGGAACACCGGAGGCGAAGGCGCCUGCCUGGACGACUAUUGACGCUGAGGCGCGAAAGCGUGGGGAGCAAACAGGAUUAGAUACCCUGGUAGUCCACGCCGUAAACGAUGAGAACUAGUUAUUGGGGGUAUUGACUCCCUCAGUGACGCAGCUAACGCAUUAAGUUCUCCGCCUGGGGAGUACGGUCGCAAGACUAAAACUCAAACAAAUUGACGGGGGCCCGCACAAGCGGUGGAUUAUGUGGUUUAAUUCGAAGCAACGCGCAGAACCUUACCUAGGCUUGAACUCCUACGAAUCCGGGGUAAUGCCUGGAGUGUCCGCAAGGAAAUGUAGUGAGAGGUGCUGCAUGGCUGUCGUCAGCUCGUGUUGUGAAAUGUUGGGUUAAGUCUCGCAACGAGCGCAACCCCUAUCGUCUGUUGCCAGCAUUAAGUUGGGCACUCUGGCGAGACUGCCUGGGUUAACCAGGAGGAAGGUGGGGAUGACGUCAAGUCCUCAUGGCCCUUAUGUCUAGGGCUACACACGUAAUACAAUGGCGCGUACAGAGGGAAGCGAACUCGCAAGGGGGAGCAAAUCUCAAAAAGCGCGCCUCAGUUCGGAUUGGAGUCUGCAACUCGACUCCAUGAAGUUGGAAUCGCUAGUAAUCGGAGAUCAGCACGCUCCGGUGAAUACGUUCCCGGGCCUUGUACACACCGCCCGUCACACCAUGGGAGUUGUUUUCAUUUUAAGACGUGACUCUAACCGCAAGGAGGAGAGCGUCUACAGUGGGAGCGAUGACUGGGGUGAAGUCGUAACAAGGUAGCCGUAGGGGAACCUGCGGCUGGAUCACCUCC